rnacentral:rRNA from 1 species
AAUAUUGCGCAAUGGAGGGAACUCUGACGCAGCGACGCCGCGUGAGCGAUGAAGGUCNNNGGAUCNUAAAGCUCUGUCCUUGGNGAANAAGGGAGCCGUAAGGCUUCUUGACGGUACCCAUGGAGGAAGCCCCGGCUAACUACGUGCCAGCAGCCGCGGUAAUACGUAGGGGGCAAGCGUUGUCCGGAUUUACUGGGUUUAAAGGGUACGUAGGCGGACUUUUAAGUCAGGGGUGAAAUCCCGAGGCUCAACCUCGGAACUGCCUUUGAAACUACUAGUCUUGAAUUAUGUUGAGGUUGGCGGAAUACAACAUGUAGCGGUGAAAUGCAUAGAUAUGUUGUGGAACACCGAUUGCGAAGGCAGCUGACUGAACAUAUAUUGACGCUGAGGUACGAAAGCGUGGGGAUCAAAC